rnacentral:rRNA from 1 species
UACGGGGGGGGCAAGCGUUGUUCGGAAUUACUGGGCGUAAAGGGCGCGUAGGCGGCUUUGCAAGUGACGGGAUGAAAUCCCGUCGGCUUAACCCGGAGAACUGCCUGUCAAACUGCAUGGGCUUGAGACCGGGAUGGAGGUGGAGUGGAAUUCCCAGUGUAGCGGUGAAAUGCGUAGAUAUUGGGAGGAACACCAGUGGCGAAGGCGGCUCACUGGACCGGUACUGACGCUGAGGCGACGAAAGCG